AUUAAUGAUUUUCUUACUUUAAUUUUUAAUAAUUAUUUUUGAGAAAUAUCUUUUUAUUUAGUAUAUUAAAGAAAAAUUUUUGUUUGUUAUAGUGGAUUAGUACUGUGAAGGAAUUGAUGAAAUAUAAAUUUUCUUUUGAAAAAGUAGGCUUAUGUUGCUGUACCUUUUGUAUCAGGGUUAAUCAAUUAAUUAAAUCUAUUUUUUUUUCUCGAUUUUAGAAGAGCUAAGUUGUUAUUUAAGUUAAUGUUUCAUAAUUAUUAUCAAUAUAACUUAGAGGAGAAAUUCCAUUCGAUUCUAAGGGUAUCUAGUUUUUUAAUAAAUAAAUUUAAUUUAGCCUUCUUAUUUAUUUAUAAUUUUUUUUAUAAUUUAUUGGAGAAUGGUAAUAUUAUAGGGGAUAAGCUCUAUAUUUUUCUAUAAUUUUUUUGUUUAAUGAAUUAAUGUAGGUUUAGAAAUAGCCAUCAUUGUUAAUUUUGUUAUAAUUUAUUUUCUUUAUUAAUAAAUUUCUGUUUUUUUAGGAUGUUAUUAAAAUACGUUAAUUAACUUAUUAUUAAUGGUAAUAAUGAUUAAAUUAGUAUAAUAUAUUGUGAAUAUUUAAUUUAUGGUAAUAAUAAAAUAAGGAACUCGGCAAAUAUAAUUCUCGCCUGUUUAACAAAAACAUGUCCUUUUGAUUUUAAUAAAAGGUCUGGCCUGCCCAGUGAAUAAUUCAACGGCCGCGGUAAAUUGACCGUGCAAAGGUAGCAUAAUCAUUAGUCUUUUAAUAGAGGGCUGGUAUGAAAGGUUUGACGAAGAAUUUUCUGUCUCAUUUUAUUUGUUUUAAAAUUUAAUUUCUUAGUCAAAAAGCUAAGAUUAUGUUGGAAGACGAGAAGACCCUAUAGAUCUUUAUAUAUAAUUAUAAUAUUAAAUUUAAUAUUAAUAUUUAAUUAUUUAUUUUGUUGGGGUGACAAAAAUAUACAAUUAACUUUUUUAUUAAUUUUACAUUGAUUUAUGAAUAAUUGAUCCAUCCUUGAUGAUUAAUAGAGUAAGUUACCUUAGGGAUAACAGCGUAAUCCUUCUCCAGAGUUCAUAUUUACAGAAGGGCUUGCGACCUCGAUGUUGGAUUAAGAUAAUAAUUAGGUGCAGCCACUUAAUUUAUAGGUCUGUUCGACCUUUAAACUCUUACA
rnacentral:rRNA from 1 species